GUAGGUGAACCUGCGGAGGGAUCAUUACACAAGUAUGCAAGCCCAGGACUACCGCCCUCUCCCCUACUUGAGCGGUAGCCGCUAGGUUGGGGGUGGUGGCCUGGGAUCCAUCUUCACCCAUGUCUUUUUGCGUACUACCUGUUUCCUUGGCGAGCGAGCUCGCCAAUUGGACCACCAAUUAAACCUUUUUGUAAUUGCAAUCAGCGUCAGAUAACACAAAUGUAAUAAAUUACAACUUUCAACAACGGAUCUCUUGGUUCUG
rnacentral:misc_RNA from 1 species